rnacentral:lncRNA from 1 species
AGGACUCGAAGGUAUUUCACCUUCGUACUAGAGUUUGAAUUCACCCUACUCUUCAUUCUAGAGUAUCUGCAAAGAUUACAAAAGAUAGAUUAGAAUGUCAUUGUCCCUCAAAUAAGCAAAUUUCUACAUAUUUAAAUCAGCAUUAAAGGUGGUAUGCACUAAUAACCUUGAUCAGUAUUUCCUGUGUUAAGCAAUGUGUAAAUCAUUUCUGAGCAAACAGGUUAUCAGGAAAAUGAGAAUUUUGCCUUAGACCAAGGCUUUCAAUAAGGAAAGGCAUAAAAACAAUUCCAUCUCAUCUGUCUGUCUCACUAAAAGAGGAAGACAAAAAUAAUAUUGUCACCCUAAAACUGUGAUUGUCAAUAAAUGUACUCAGGGGUCUCCCAAAUAAUCCUCAAGUUGAUUUAUUUGAGUAAAAUGAGCUCCCAUUUGUCCAAAAUGGUUGAGAAAGAAUCUAUUACCAUUACGUGAAGAAUCUUGCUAAGUCUUAUACCCUUGAAAUUGUUGAGUGGAAUAAACUGUUACUACUAAUGACAUAAUACUAU